rnacentral:RNase_P_RNA from 1 species
CCAGCCGGCCGGGCAGCCGCUCGUGCACAGACGAAAGAGUGUACGGGAGGAAAGUCCGGGCUCCACGGAAACACGAUGCCGGAUAACGUCCGGCCGGGAGGCGGAGCUUCGGCUCCGGUUCCCGAGGGAAAGUGCAACAGAAAGCAUACCGCCCGAUACUGCUUGCAGCGGAGGGUAAGGGUGAAAUGGCGGGGUAAGAGCCCACCGCAUGCGCCAGCAAUGGCCAUGGCUAGGUAAACCCCAUCGGGAGCAAGACCGAAUAGGGAUGGCGCGGCAGGUUCGCCUGCCAGGCAGGUUUCCAUGCCAGUCGUCCGGGUAGGUUGCGUGAGGUGUCCGGCAACGGACAUCCAAGAUGAAUGGCUGCCACGUUCCGGGUUCGUCCCGGGGCCAUACAGAACCCGGCUUAUAGGCCGGCUGGCAUU